rnacentral:misc_RNA from 1 species
GUGUUUCGUGCUCCCAAUGUACCCUAAAAAAUGAUACACAAUACAUCAAAGUUCUACUGAAUAAGGGACAAGAUGAAAUCAAUUAACAGCAUACUUUGAAGUAAGAAGGAAGCUUGCAGUAAUAAGAGAAAAUCCAAAAUAUCGGUCGCAUAUAAACACAUGCAUGCUUGCAGGCCUAUAUCGAUUCUAUCAUACUUGCAAAAGCAUGUACAAGAUGAACUCAUAAAUUCCACUUAAUAUGACGGAGAUGCCCAAAAUAGAAUAACUUAAACAUUUCAAGUGUAAAUAGCCAUGCAAGAGAAGAAAGAAACAAUU